rnacentral:rRNA from 1 species
GACGAACGCUGGCGGCGCGCUUAACACAUGCAAGUCGAACGGAAAGGCCUGCUUUCCCUUGUGGAUUGCGGGUACUCGAGUGGCGAACGGGUGAGUAACACGUGAGUGAUCUGCCCCCAACUUGGGUAUAAGCCUGGGAAACUGGGUCUAAUUCCCGAUAGGACUGCAGGGUGGUGCCGGUGGUGGAAAACGUUUUUUUAGUGGUUGGGGAUGAGCUCGCGGCCUAUCAGCUUGUUGGUGGGGUAAUGGCCUACCAAGGCGGCGACGGGUAGCCGGCCUGAGAGGGUGGACGGCCACAUUGGGACUGAGAUACGGCCCAGACUCCUACGGGAGGCAGCAGUGGGGAAUAUUGCACAAUGGGCGGAAGCCUGAUGCAGCGACGCCGCGUGGGGGAUGACGGCCUUCGGGUUGUAAACUCCUUUCGACCGCGAGGAAGCCACCUGGUUGGAAGGGUGGUGACGGUAGUGGUAGAAGAAGCACCGGCUAACUACGUG